rnacentral:rRNA from 1 species
AACGAACGCUGGCGGCAUGCCUAACACAUGCAAGUCGAACGAGACCUUCGGGUCUAGUGGCGCACGGGUGCGUAACGCGUGGGAACCUGCCCUUAGGUUCGGAAUAACUCCCCGAAAGGGGUGCUAAUACCGGAUAAUGUCUUCGGACCAAAGAUUUAUCGCCUUUGGAUGGGCCCGCGUUGGAUUAGCUAGUUGGUAGGGUAAAAGCCUACCAAGGCGACGAUCCAUAGCUGGUCUGAGAGGAUGAUCAGCCACACUGGGACUGAGACACGGUCCAGACUCCUACGGGAAGCAGCAGUGGGGAAUAUUGGACAAUGGGCGAAAGCCUGAUCCAGCAAUGCCGCGUGAGUGAUGAAGGCCUUAGGGUUGUAAAGCUCUUUUACCCGGGAUGAUAAUGACAGUACCGGGAGAAUAAGCUCCGGCUAACUCCGUG